rnacentral:tRNA from 1 species
ACUUAAAUAGUAUAACUAUUAUAUUUAACUUCCAAUUAAAAGAUCUAUUUUAUAGUUUAAGUA